UACGUAGGUGACCAGCGUUGUCCGGAUUUACUGGGCGUAAAGAGCGCGCAGGCGGUCGUUCAAGUCGAGUGUGAAAGCCCCCGGCUCAACUGGGGAGGGUCAUUCGAUACUGAUCGACUCGAAGGCAGGAGAGGGAAGCGGAAUUCCCAGUGUAGCGGUGAAAUGCGUAGAUACUGGGAGGAACACCAGUGGCGAAGGCGGCUACCUGGACCGGUUCUGACGCUGAGGCGCGAAAGCGUGGGUAGCAAACGGG
rnacentral:rRNA from 1 species